CCCCUUCGAAGAAAGACACAGAUAUCCCCCCCCAAUCCUCAAAGACCUAAACAUUCCAAGCUUCUUUCAUUAUAAAAUUAAUUUAUUGUGUGUCUGUGUACGCGCACAUGCAAUCCAAGCGAUGCUCACUGUGAUCGACUUAUGCUGCAGCAGCUAAAAUAUCUGUCCUUCAGGUCAAUCUAAUCAUGCUUAAUAGCAGUUUAGUCCUCAAUGCAACAUUUUUCACAUUUGGUCGACAGUUUUAAGUAAGACUGCUGAUGCACUCCUUUCUUAGGCUUGUUUUUUUUAAAAAAAAAAAAACAAAACCCAGGCCGGCGCAUGCACAGAGAUACUUGCGCAAUAAAAUGCUUUAUUGCUCUUGAUGAACGCACUAUUAAACUUCAAUUGCAAGCUGCCAUCUUCUUUAUUAUUAUUAUUUAUUUAGAAACAGGGUGUGGAAGUGUAUUUAUCUGGUCACCUGAUUCCCAAGGGCUAAGAAGAAAUAAAAACGUCUGCACACAUAUUGUGUCAGCUUAAGCAAACAAAACCAUUCAAAAAGUUGCACCGAAAAGCCGGCAAAAUAGCCACUGUAUAUUCAAGGACUCUCUCCCCCUCCAACCUUACAUGUAAAAUGUUCAUUUAUGGAUUUUAUUUUUUUAUUCUUUUUUUUUCCUAAAAAAAGUCUGGAUUUUGUGGGGCAUAGAGUAUGAAAAUGUAACUAAUUUGGUUCAGUGGAUUUAUGGCUUUUUACAAUCCUCGGAGCUACUGUUUUUCACAACUGCCUCUUAAAACAAAAUCCUCGCUUAGCUGUUUGGAUGACAGCUCUCGAAUUUCUCAACUUGUCCUGAUGGAAUGACUUGCCUCGCGCGGCUGAGCCACGCCAAAGAACUUCAGGAACGACGCCCGUGAUAAAGUGAGCAGGACUAGGUGCCUGUCUUUUGCCUGUUUGCUUUAUUCCAUUAUUUUUUCCUGAGUGGCUCCUCUCAUAAUUAUUUCACAGGGGAAGGAGUUUGGAAAUCAGCUGCAUUUUGAACAGCAAAAGGGGGGGGGGAGGAAAUCCAAUGAGGUAAGAUCAGCAGAUCUACAACGGAAGUCAUAAAAAGAAAUGCAAACCCCCCAAAUGGGCCAUUAAAGACAAUGAUAAAACCUCACUUCGGUUCAAUCCAUUCCGAACAUUUGUUUUAAAGUUACCCUGUAUUUAUUUUUUUCAAUUUCAUCCUAAUGCAUCCCUUUAAAAAAAAAAGCUCAUAAUUAGAGGGCCAGAAAACUAAAUUAAAAAUACACACAAUACAUGCAGGCUUCUGUUAAAAAUGUUUUCUACCUAAUUACACCUUUCAGGCUUCCUUCCUCCAUCCUCUUUAACUCAGUUGUUAAAACACCUAAAAAGGCAAGCCCCCCAAAUUUGCAGCUGCCAACAUAUUUACAUACACAUUUAAAUCUGCAUGGUUUAGUUACUCACUUCCUAAUGCAAUUCCCUUUGAUUAACAAGCAUAUUAAUUCAGAGGGGAGAGAAUUAAAAGUAAAUCAAAAUGGCAUUGAAGAUGCAUUUCGCUCAAGUAAAUCAGCCCUGGAAAUCGAGCAAUCCUUUAAAAAAAGCGAAAUGAAUAUGUCAGUGAAACCCACGUUAAAAGGGAAAUGUGACCAUCAGCUAGGGUGCAUAGAGAGGUCCCCUGAAAGGAUUGUCCCUUAUUCCAGAAUAAUUGCAGUUCAUGAAGAACAUAAUGGACGUCUUUCAGCACUCUACACAACAGAAGUCCAGAGCUCUGCAGUUUUCCUCCUUUUCAAACAUUUUGCACCUAUAUCUCAUGGAACAACAGGCAGAUUCCCACCCCCCAAAGCAAGGUGUGUCCCAGAGGGAUAAGUCUCGUUUUAUAUUUGCGAUAGUGACAGCAUUUGUCCCUUUUUUAAAUUUAGUGUGCCCAGACAAAUGUCGGUGAUUUAUAGCCCAGGGAAAGCUGCAAACUUAAGCCUAGGAAAUAUCAUUUUACUGCUCUGCCAAGGCUAAUUCCAAAACACUAAUGCUUUAAUUUUAAACACCACAUCAUCCCAUAAAAUGUUAAUGCUAAGCAGGGACUAGGGGUCUUUUAUCGCCCUGAAAUAGUUUAGCAGGCUCAAAGGUCUGCUCCUCUAUCAGUAGCAGAUGACUUCAGGGAAGAAGAAAUAAACAUUUUCUGGAGGAAAGAAACCAGCAAUAUGUACGGUAUAUGUUCUAAGGGGUUAUGCAGAACUACAGAGUUAUAGAAUUUGAAUACAAACCAGUUUAGCUGGAUCAAAUCUAUCCUAAAGUUAAAUCCAGCUAAGUCAUACUAAGAAUAAAAGGUAAAGGGACCCCUGACCAUUAGGUCCAGUUAUGGCUGACUCUGGGGUUGUGGCGCUCAUCUUGCUCUAUAGGCCGAGGGAGCCGGCGUACAGCUUCCGGGUCAUGUGGCCAGCAUGGCUAAGCCACUUCUGGCCAACCAGAGCAGCCUUUUACCUUCCCGCCGGAGCGGUACCUAUUUAUCUACUUGCACUUUGACGUGCUUUCGAACUGCUAGGUUGGCAGGAGCAGGGACCGAGCAACGGGAGCUCACCCCGUUGCUGGGAUUCGAACCGCCAACCUUCUGAUCAGCAAGUCCUAGGCUCUGUGGUUUAACCCACAGCACCACCCGCGUCCCCAUACUAAGAAUAGGCCCAUAGAAAUCAGUGGGCUUGAUUAACUCAACCCCGUUUAUUUCAGUUUGUCGACACAAAAGAUGACUUUAAUACAACUCGUCAUUUUUCUGCCUUAACUUAAAUCCCCCCUCUGCCCCCUAAAUUAUCUCAUUAGGCAAUCGUAGGCAAGCUACUCACUCUGUACUUCAACCUUCCCGUAUGCAAUAAGAUAUUCCAACCUGCCUUACUAAAACUGCUGUCAUGCACCUGUAGUGUUUUUAACAAACCCACACACCAUAUAAAUCCCAAACAUUAUUAUUGAUUCUAUGCAAAUCUACCUAGUAAGAAAACUCACUGAAAUUAUUGGACCUUACUUCCACAUUAUAGGCACAAUUUGGAAAAAAUUGAGGAGGGUCUUAAGAACCAUUAAAUUAUUUGGAUCUGUGCUUUCUUUUAUUGGAAGUAAGUCUUCUUCAAAAUUAAGGCCUGUACUGAUCCACAUGCAUAUGUGUGUAUGAAAGGGAGAAAGACAGAGAAAAAGGGUGGUAUCCAACUAAAAUGUCCCAUCAGUCCAAUGAUUUCUGUUCUGUGAAACUUCCCCCGUCUCCUGUCCUCAUGCAUGUCCUAGCCCGUCCCAAAUCUGUUCCAGAUGGUCGGAGGAAAACCUGGUACUCUUUAGGGCAGGCAUAGGCAAACUCAGCCCUCCAGAUGUUUUGGGACUACAACUCCCAUCACCCCUGACCGCUGGUUCUGUUAGCUAGGGAUGAUGGGAGUUGUAGUCCCAAAACAUCUGGAGGACCUAGUUUGCCUAUGCCUGAUUUAGGGGGCAGGUGGGGAGAGGAUGCUUGGGGAAAGAAGGUGGGGCAAGUUCCAGAAAUACUUCCACUUAUUGAACACAAUACUUAACACUAAAAUAGGUACAACCCAAAGUUCUGGGCGGGCCACUGUGCCAGGCGGGUGUUUUGCAUCCACCAUAGUAGAUCACAAAUUAGUUUGCCCUAAAAUCAGAAGGUCCUAUUUCCAUAUCACGUGUAGCCAGGGCUGCCUCAUCCACAAGGCAGACUGAGGCAUCUGCCUCAGGUGGCAGAAUCCAAGGGACUCCCGCUUCCGGUGAUAUCUUGCAAGAGCCCCAUGCGAUCUCGUGGAGGCCUUUGUGCAGUCUCAAGAAGAAGAAGAAGAGUUUGGAUUUGAUAUCCCGCUUUAUCACUACCCUAAAGAGUCUCAAAGCGGCUCGCAAUCUCCUUUCCCUUCCUCCCCCACAACAAACACUCUGUGAGGUGAGUGGGGCUGAGAGACUUCAGAGAAGUGUGACUAGCCCAAGGUCACCCAGCAGCUGCAUGUGGAGGAGCGGAGACGCGAACCCGGUUCACCAGAUUACAAGUCCACAGCUCUUAACCACUACAUCACACUGGCUCUCAAGGGGUUCUGCUGUGAUCUCCCCUGAACCUGGAAGCUGCAGGAAGCCACACAACCUGAACCUGGAAGCCACACAACCCCGGUAAGCAAGGCUUUGGGCCAGGAUCUCAAUAUAGGGCAGGCAGGCGGUGCACAUCAUGUACAACAACUUCUCUUUUUUUGCCUCAGGCGGCAAAACAGGAUCAACCGCCCCUGAGUAUUAAGCCCUAUUAAUAAGGUGCUUAAUUUUCUCCAGAGUGGGUCAAUGGCAAGGAAGUAAGUGGUGUAUCUAGUCAAGAGUGCCCAGCUUGCUCAAGAAAGGGGUGGUUUGAUUUGUUUAGAAAAUGGGGCCAUUUGUGACUUUUAAAAUGGGGCAAUCCACUGUGGACAACCACAGUCCCUAGAUUUCAAAAGAGGAGGGUUUAUGCCCUCCCGCUUUAUGAUAGACAACUCAUGCCUCUCCGAGAGAGAGAUAUAUAAAUGGUGGCUUGGCCACAUGCAAUUCGCCUUAGACCUUCCUGAAGCUGCUAGAAGAAUGAAAGCAGGGUAGUAGAUGGAAGACUGUGAGUCAGCUCUCUCGUCUCUGCCCCUCUCCUGCAGCCUCCACCACCAUUUGCCAAUUUAGCUCCCUAAACUUAGAGUGAGAACUUGCUAUUCAAGCCAAAGGUCACCGCUUUUGGCAGCCUAGCGUUAACCCAGAUUACUGCUCCCUCUUCCACCUGUUGUAGGCUCCAGAGAGGCUGGCAUGAGUGGGAUUCUCCUAAAGAGCAAAGGGCACAUGAUGCCAGGAUCAGCAAGGCCAUUUGCCUUCCCUGGUCCACUGCCAACACAUCAAAACAUUUUUUUAAAAAGAAGAAAAGAAAGAAAGAAAUGUACUUUCUAGAUCUCUGCAGUAGCUCGAGCUUUGGCUCCGGCCCAAAUUCAUGUUCUCAUCCAAAUCAGUGCAUUAAACAAAAUCUGAUUGGCCGCCGUUAGAGAUACCAGCCUCACUAUUUCUGCAGUCACAUCAUCGAUACAGAAUUUGCAAAAGAAUGAGAGGGAUGAAGGAGUGAAAGAAAGAAAGAAAGAAAGAAAGAAAGAAAGAAAGAAAGAAGCCUUUUCACAAUAUUUGUUGACUGAACUACAAGAUAAAACCCACUUCUGGUGUAUUUGGGGAAACAUUUAUCUAAUUUCAGCACCAACACCCACUUAUCAUCGAGUUUCUGCGAUCCACUUAAAUCCCCUUCCACAUAAGCAUGUAACAAGUGACAAUGGGACUUCCAUUGAGUAGAUCUGGGGAAGGAUUUGGGGGGAGGGUGGGGGGGAAGGAUGCCCUUCAAAAUCCUGCUUUUCUCUUUUAGCAGCACCAAACAACGCACAGAGCUAAGGUUUCCAAAGACAGCAUCUGUCUGCUGCUUGAUCAGCAUCUCAGAAAUGGGGCGGGGGGGGGGGGGAGAGGAAUCAAGACAUCAGGACUCUCAUGGCUUGUCAGAUGGCUGUGUGGCGUGCAGCAUCUUGGCAAACUAAGAAUAACUUGACGUCAGACCUGCAGGCAUUCCACUUGAGAACACAGUACGGUGCCACCAGUGAAAUAAGUUAAGGAAGAGUUAAUGUGUCACACCAGGGGCAGGUGGACAGUGGGGCCUGUCACUUGAUUCAAUUCACAACAUACAGUUCUUUGAGGAUUUUAGGAAUUUUAUCGCAUAUGACAGGGGUCCUUUUUUGGUUGUGGCGGACAGGUGUUAAGACAUUAAACAGACAAGAGAGUCAUAAUAUCAAAGGCCCAGCAAGAAGCAUUCAGACCUUUUGACAUCCCUCUUUUAAAAAAAUAAAAAUUUUGCAAAUGUGUUGUGGUGACAAAUAUAGCUGCAAAGCUCUGUCGACCCCUGACUAUAUCCUUUUUAAAUACCAAAACCCCCCAAAAUACCAAUGGAAUAGAUGGGAAAACCUGCCUGAACCACACAUAUGCCCACACCCUCUUAAAAUAAGAGGCAUGUGUGUAAUCAUGCACCUAUUCAAUAUCCUACAUUCUAAAGCAGAAGAGGUCGGUAUGAAUCUGCUUUUUACAGGCUGAAACAAAAAUAACUUUUAAACCCAGCAAAGGCGGAAGUUUCCAAACUCCGAUUAGCCCUAAAAAUGCCAUCCGUGUUUCCAAAGCCGUCCCGUUGCUCAAUAUGCCUCUGUCACGCAAGACGCAUGUACAUAUCCGCACAUAUAGAUUUGGGGUGUGUUUUCUUUCCUAUAGGAUUUUGAGUUCUGUCUUCUAUGUGGAAAGGGAGCCUUGCAAGCAGGCGAGGAAGGAGGCCCCCUAACCCUGCUUCUUUUCCCUCUUCUUCAUCUUCUUCUUCUUCUUUAAGGAAAAGAGAGCUUUGGAAAAGAGACCGAGAGCCCACAGAAGUGGACAGUGAGCUUUCCUCUGCCGUUGCCUUUCAAAGCCCAUACCGCAGUCAGCAUAUUGAAUAUUUAAUGUCCUCCUGAUGAACACUUCCACCUGCUGACACAGGCAAAGUGACAGAACAAUACAUGCGCUGGAACACGACCAUCAAUUGACUCCCCAGUCAGUCUGCCAUGUCAGGCAUUAAAUUAAAAAGAAAGAAAGAAAGAAAAAAGAGCAAACCUUUCUCUCUCUUUUAAGAUAUCCACACACACAUGCACACACCACAUUAGCGCCAUUGCGAAGGUCCGUACCUGAAAUACAUACUUCUUUACAUUCCAUAGUUUGCGAGGUUCAUAUGGGCAUAUAAAGAAGUAUGUCUCUCAAGCAGGUAGUUUUCGGGAUGGGCAUCUAAGAGGCUCGCCAGGUAGAAUCCACAGCGCAAGGAGGUCUGAAAAAGAGCAGGCGUCUCCGCCUCACCUCCCCAUCCCAUCCCACCAGCUGCCAGCUUACACAGACAGAGAUGUCCACCUACCUUGCCUCUGACUCAUCUCUGACCAUCCACAGAGACCUCUGUAGAGGCACCUUCUACCCCUCCUCCCCCCACAAGAACAGGACAGGACAAUACAGUGUGCAAAAAUGGGGUUUUCAAGCAAAUUUUGCAACAAUUAAUUUCCCCACAUAGUGGCACAGUUUAUUUCUUUAAAAAAAAAAAGCAAUAUGCAAUUAUAAACAGUUGUCUGUGUUAAUCCAAAAGCAAGCACAGAUUUGCAAAUCCACACACCUCAAGAAGGAUUUUCCCCCCUUUUAAAACCAUAGUCUAGAAACUUUCAGCUAUCAUAAAUAUGCCCAAUGCACAUUAUAAGGGAGUGAAGAAAAGGUUUAAUUUCUUUGCACACGCACUCAAGUAGAACAUAUUUCUUCCUUCCCUGUCGGCAUAUUAUAUAUAAAUACAGUCAGUGCUGACUCCCUCCUCCCCACCCCCACAACACACUUUUAAACAAAAAUGUUCAGCACAUCCACAGAUAAAAACCAAAGAGUCCACUUUAUAUACGUAAGAAAUCAACACAUUCCAUACAACGGGUGUAAGACAGCUCAUCAGAACGAAAGAAGGAAAAAGCUCACACACUCAAACACAGGAUAGAUCCCCCCCCCAUUUAGUCAGCGCAAAAAAACAUAAGAAAAAGGAGGGAGUUUCUUUCUUACCUCAGGCGUCCACUGAUAUAAUUUCCCCCCUUUUUGUAGGUCACCGUAAAUGAGUCUCAGCCUGAAGGAUAGGAAACCCAUAAAAGGAAAGGGCUCGGGGGUUUUCCCCCCCUUGGAGUCCCCCCUCUCUUUUUUUGGUGUGGAGGGGGCAGCAGAGAAGAGUUUUUCCCCCCUCUAAAGUAUCUUCUGGUUGAACUUUGUGACAUUAGAGGAUGCCCAAAAUAGACCUGAGGACAGGCAGAGAACAGGAGAAGCCCAAGGUGGAUGGGUGGAUGGGUGGAUAGAGCUGUUGAGUGUAGGCCGGAGUGGAAGUCGGAAGAGCUGCUCCUCGGAGGGUGAGGGUGUGUGUGUGUGCAUGCGUGAGUCUCCAUGUGUGUGAAACCUUGCCUCUUCCUCCUGCAUCAGGCGGUCUCUCUCUCUCUCUCUCUCUCUCUCUCUCUCUCUCUCUCUCAUCACUGGUUACCUCACAGCCACUCUGAGCUUUAAAGCCCCCUUAACAAUGAGGUCCGAGUAGCACCACUGAGAAUGACGAGUGCACUGAAUAGGAGACUAUUAUGAGCAGGAUUUAGACAUCCAGCAAAGCAGGAGGUCACACUGGGUGCAUAAUGCUCGUUCAGCAUUGCUGUAAUGGUGCGCUUUGCUUGCCCACUCACCUGCUCCAUCUGACGGCUACCUCUCUCUCUCUCUCUCUCUCUCUCUCUCUCUCUCUCUUUCUCUCCCUCCCUCCUCC
rnacentral:lncRNA from 1 species